rnacentral:rRNA from 1 species
UACGGAGGGUGCAAACGUUGCUCGGAAUCAUUGGGCGUAAAGCGCGUGUAGGCGGCUCGUUAAGUCGGAUGUGAAAGCCCUCGGCUCAACCGAGGAAGUGCAUACGAAACUGGCGAGCUUGAAUAUGGAAGAGGGUCGCGGAAUUCCCGGUGUAGAGGUGAAAUUCGUAGAUAUCGGGAGGAACACCAGAGGCGAAGGCGGCUACCUGGACAAUUGCUGACGCUCAGGCACGAAAGCGUGGGGAGCAAAAGGG